GCGGAGCCUACCACCUGCUCCCGAGGAGGGGGCGGCAAGGAGAGGGAGGGGGCGCAGCGGGGAGGAACGCCGGGGUGAACGUUGAAGGAGUGUUAGAGAUCCAAGCUUGGAAACCUGGCAAGGUUAGUUUUGUUCUAUUUGUUUAGAAAAGGCGCAGAGAGCGGCAGGGCUCUCUGCAUGCUGCUGAGUCAGAGCUUCGGAGGCAACUGGGAUCUGCCUCAGUUUCCUGGCCUGUAAAAUGGAUUAAUCAGGCAUGUCCCAGUUUCUCCUUCCCUGAGCUAUUGUGAGCCCAGUUGAGAUACUAUUUAAAGAAAAUGGAAAAAAAUUACAUGUGAGAAAGAAAAGGGAGUGGGAGCAACACAAAAAGACUGGAAGGAAAGAACCUGUGACCCUAUUAUCACUUGAAAAGUAAAAACUUCAAAAGUGAAUUUUCUCUUGAAAUUUCAAGUUUAAGUGAAAGCUGUAAAGGAAAGAAGGGGAAAUGAGAAUAAAAACGUUUAAUGUUUUCUUAUUCUACCACCUUCAAUACAUGAUAAAGCUGUCUUGUUUAUAAGUUUUUUUUGUUUUUAUUUUCUAAGUGCAUUAUCUCAUUUGAUGUUUAUGGCAACUUAAAGGCAAAAUAGUUAUUACUUCCAUUACACAAAGACACUAAACUUAAGAGGGCCUGCCUAUAUGUUCAGAAUCUUGGUGUACGACCCAGUUAUUUAAUCAUGAAGCCCUUAUUGUAUAGCAGGCUCAGCAAAGUUUUUCUUUGGGCCGUACAGUAAAUAUUUAGGCUUUGUGGACCAUAAGAUCUCUUUCUCAGCUACUCAACUCUGCCAUUGGAGCUCAAAAGCAGUCAUAGAAAAUAUGGGCUGUGUUCCUAUAAAGAUUUAUGUAUGGACACUGAAAUUUGAAUUUCAUAUAAUUUUCACGUCAUAAAAUGUUCUUCUAUUGAUUUAAACAUGGUCUUUGUUAGGUUUUGAAGGGAAGGUGAGGGUUAAAGAAAGACAGAGAGAGCAGUCUUGCUCUGCUGCCUAGGCCGGAGUACAGUGGCAUGAUCUCGGCUCACUGCAGCCUGGACAUCCAGGGCUCAAGUGAUCCUCCCACCUCAGCCUCCCAAGGUGCUGGAAUUACAGGUGUGAGCCACUGAGCCAGGCCCUUUUGAUCUUUUUUCAACCGUUUCAACGGUUAUUCUUAUUUCAGAUCUUAGUUUACCAACCCAUGUUGUAAAGUACCGCAGCUGGACAGAGUGGAAGCUCUGAAGACCUUUGCUCUGAACAAGUAAUUGAGAAGGGAAGAUGAGAGGGCAAUAGUACAGCACAAGUCAAGCAUGGGGGCUUUGGCAGAACUUAUUGAGCAAAGUAAGUAAUUAAGCCCAUCCAGAGAAGGCAGUUUUUGAGCUGGGUAUUAGGAAAUAUGUAAGAUUUCUAUAGGUGGAGAAGGAGAUGUCAGGCAUUCCUGAAUGAGAAAAUACAUUGAGCAAAAAGGCACAGACGUGGACACCUGUAGGUGGGGGCUAGGAUUGGGGCUGGUAACAACUGAAGGGAUGAAAUGGAAGGUGAGGCUGGAAAGGCAGGUUAGCCAAAUUUGAAAUUUAGAUAAUUGAUAUAUGUUGCAUGGAACCUGAAUGAUAGCAUGUCUGAGUAUAUUGCAAAAGAAGACAGUACCUGUUGGCCAAGGAAGGAUGCAGCCCAGUCUAUUCCCUGCUGUAAAGUUGAAAACAAAAGGAAGGUUAGGACAGACAGGGAAGCCCUAGACUCUGAGGGUUGUGUGAGUUCAGGAUAACCGCGUGUGGUUUAGAAAAGACAGGGAGAGAGCUGAUAGCUAGGAAAAAUCCCAGAAUUGGGAAAGUACUGCCCACCCCAAAGUAAACUGUUUGAGUGUAGAGACCCUGCUUAGGUUUUCCUUGAUGUAAACUCAGUGCCUACACAGUGUUAGGCACUUAGUAGGUGCUCAUAUAUUUGUCUAAUAAAAGAAUAAAUGGGCCAGGCACAGUGGCUUAUGCCUGUAAUCCCAGCACUUUGGGAGGCCGAGGCGGGCAGAUCACAAGGUUAAGAGAUCGAGACCAUCCUGGCCAACAUGGUGAAACCUCAUCUCUACUAAAAAUACAAAAGUAGCCGGGCAUGGUGGCACAUGCCUGUAAUCCCAGCUACUUGGGAGGCUGAGGCAGGAGAAUCGCUUGAACCCGGGAGGCGGAGGUUGCAGUGAGCCGAGAUUGCACCACUGCACUCCAGCCUGGGCAACAAGAGCAAAACUCCGUCUCAAAAGAAAAAAAAAAGAAUAAAUGAUCUGCAGUUUAUGAGAAAUGUCAGGAUGAAAGAGAGAGAAAACACUGAGAGGGACAAUAUUAGAGCUGUAUUAAAUCUGAAUUGGUUAUUGCAGACCCAUCAAAAAGGAAAUAUGUUCAGCUUGGCAUGAUACAGUCGUACCUAUCCUGACUCUGAGUAGGCUAUUGCUUCUCUAAGAGCUUACUAACCAUCUGUUUAAUAACUCGUUUUCAGAAUUUUUCCAGAGUCAAUGUGAAGUUCACUGGACUGAGUUCCCAGAAUUGACCAUUUCUCUUUUUUUUCCAUCUGUUUUUCUCUAUUCCUCCAUCAUGCUUUGGCUCUCCACUUUUUCUAAGACCUCUAUAACUGUUCAUGUAAGCACGUUUGUUCAUUUCCCCUAUUCUACAACCAUCCCCUUUUUGUGCAUUUUGCUUGAAAUGUAACUUUAAAAAUAGUUUCUUCUCCCAAGUUUGCAGAGCUUGGCCUAUUCUGGACUUUUAAC
rnacentral:lncRNA from 1 species